CAGCAGCCACGGGAAUACAGAGGGUGCGAGCGUUAAUCGGAUUUACUGGGCGUAAAGCGUGCGUAGGCGGCUUUUUAAGUCGGAUGUGAAAUCCCUGAGCUUAACUUAGGAAUUGCAUUCGAUACUGGGAAGCUAGAGUAUGGGAGAGGAUGGUAGAAUUCCAGGUGUAGCGGUGAAAUGCGUAGAGAUCUGGAGGAAUACCGAUGGCGAAGGCAGCCAUCUGGCCUAAUACUGACGCUCAUGCACGAAAGCGUGGGGAGCAAACAGGAUUAGAUACCCCAGUAGUCCCUGUCUCUUAUAC
rnacentral:rRNA from 1 species